GUAAGAGAUCAUAGUAAUUCUGCUGCUGCUUUCAAGAUCCAUAUUGGUUAUGAUGUUGCAGUCCUGGCCUGUCCCCUCUCCAGGGCCACAGAACUCUCCUUUCAACCUCCUAAGUUGUCCUGGGCUGGAAAAAAGCCUCAUCCCUUCUGUUGACUCAUGGCUGCAACUCAACCAGUUACCAGAGACACCGGGAUUAUGAGCUUCACUUUUCUUUGAUAUAGCCUCCUAUUUGAUCGGGGUGAUAAAAUUCCUUUCAACUCC